AAUAAUAAUAAUAAUAAUAAAAGAGUUAAUAGAAAUCACUAUGGACAAGCAAGACUUGCAAAAGGUAGAUAAUGCAACAGUUAUGGAACUAAAAGCAUUGGAAAAAUAAAGAGACCCACAGCUCCACUGUCAAGCAGCAAUGCACUACUGGGAAAAUGAAUCUCAGUUUAGCUUGAAUAAAGCAUUAAAGCUCAAAUAAAGGAUACAAAAUAAAAGGUGUUUGUUAUAUUUUUCUGUUUGUCUGUCAUCAUGAAUGAAAAUUCAUCAGGUUGAUUGACACCUUAAAUUUUUUCUAGAAAAUGAGAUUAAAAUAGCCCAAAAGUGUGAAUAAAUGAUAUUUUGAGAAAGAGAAAACAUGAUACAAGGAUGCAAAAACAAUUUUGAUAAACAAGAAUGCCCUACUUUUAGUUUUCAAAUUGAAUAA
rnacentral:misc_RNA from 1 species